rnacentral:rRNA from 1 species
GUCGAGCGGAUGAAGAGAGCUUGCUCUCUGAUUCAGCGNNNGACGGGUGAGUAAUGCCUAGGAAUCUGCCUGGUAGUGGGGGACAACGUCUCGAAAGGGACGCUAAUACCGCAUACGUCCUACGGGAGAAAGCAGGGGACCUUCGGGCCUUGCGCUAUCAGAUGAGCCUAGGUCGGAUUAGCUAGUUGGUGAGGUAAUGGCUCACCAAGGCGACGAUCCGUAACUGGUCUGAGAGGAUGAUCAGUCACACUGGAACUGAGACACGGUCCAGACUCCUACGGGAGGCAGCAGUGGGGAAUAUUGGACAAUGGGCGAAAGCCUGAUCCAGCCAUGCCGCGUGUGUGAAGAAGGUCUUCGGAUUGUAAAGCACUUUUGGCGGGAACGAAACGGCGAUGACUAAUACUUUUCGCUAAUGACGGUACCCGCAGAAUAAGCCCCGGCUAACUCCGUGCCAGCAGCCGCG